GACGAACGCUGGCGGCGUGCUUAACACAUGCAAGUCGAACGGAAAGGCCCUGCUUUUGUGGGGUGCUCGAGUGCCGAACGGGUGCGUAACACGUGAGUAACCUGCCCUUGACUUUGGUAUAACUUCAGGAAACUGGGGCUAAUACCGGAUAGGAGCUCCUGCUGCAUGGUGGGGGUUGGAAAGUUUCGGCGGUUGGGGAUGGACUCGCGGCUUAUCAGCUUGUUGGUGGGGUAGUGGCUUACCAAGGCUUUGACGGGUAGGCGGCCUGAGAGGGUGACCGGCGACAUGGGGACUGAGAGAGGGCGCAGACGGCUACGGGAGGCAGCGGGGGGGAAUAUGGCACAGUGGGCGGGAGCGUGAUGCAGAAGCGCCGCGGGCGGGAUGACGGCCUUCGGGGUGAGAACCGCUUUCGCCUGUGACGAAGCGGGAGUGACGGUAAUGAGUAAAGAAGCACCGGCUAACUACGUG
rnacentral:rRNA from 1 species